AAAAAAGAAAGAUAAAAGCAAAAGACAAGUGGGUCAGAGUGAGUCGGAUCUUCUUCUGUUUGUCGUUCUGCCUACGAGAGACGACUACUUGAAAACCUGACACUCCCACUGCCAUGCCUACUAUCGCUAAACUUUUUUCAACUGACAUUCUUUCUCCUCUCGCCUAGAUGUGGUCGUGGCCGUGCGUGUCCAUCUCACGAUUAGAUUUAUUGCAAU
rnacentral:misc_RNA from 1 species